rnacentral:sRNA from 1 species
AUGGCUUUCACAAAGUGGCUCUGUAACUUGUGAUAGGCUUUCCCCCAUGGCACCAAGCAUCCAACGCAAUUGGAUUGUGACCAUAUCAAGGUGAACCCGAAAACCAACCAAAGUGAUGCAAGACAACUACCACAAGGUCCGCAGCUACCACAACGAGAAAAUCCAUCCCAUGUCAUCGUUGUUGCUCCAACAAAAAAAAGGAAAAAAGCUUUAGUGGCCGCUGUCAACAUCCCUUGGAGCGUAGCUCUUCCGCGGACGAACUCAGCUCACCCCCUGAUACCUCAGGUUGUUUCAGCUUGGACCCCAUCUAUUCAACACAUUUCAAAACGCUGGAUGGUGUCAAGACAGGUAGGUUCAUGUCAAACGUUGCCCUCCCUUCUCUACUAAUUUGGAUCGAUGCCCUUGCCAGCAGCAUGAACUAUUGUCCUUUUUAUUUUUUUCCUGACCGAGUGAGAAACUGGUCCAAAGGCCCUGCUCAUUUGUGAUGUCUACUGUCCGUCUCUCCCUUUGUGCUCGGGUAUCUAAUCUACAACACUCACCUAACAUAGCUCACCCAGCAACCACUACCCUAAGAUCACAGUAUAUGAACAAUACUUUCAUCUCCUUGAUAUUCAAGGUGUAGCAUCUAUCCUAGCAAUCCCUGGAACAUCAUCAAACAGGC